CCCGCCCUGUGUAACUGGGUCCUGGACUUCCUGACGGGCCGCCCCCAGGUGGUGAGGGUAGGAAACAACAUCUCCACCCCGCUGAUCCUCAACACUGGGGCCCCAUAAGGGUGCGUUCUCAGCCAUCUCCUGUACUCCCUGUUCACCCAUGACUGUGUGGCCAUGGCCUCCAACUCAAUAAUCAAGUUUGCAGACGACACUACAGUGGUGGGCUUGAUUACCAAUAACGACGAGACGGCCUACAGGGAGGAGGUGAGGGCCCUCGGAUUGUGGUGUCAGGAAAAUAACCUCACACUCAACGUCAACAAAACAAAGGAGAUGAUCGUGAACUUCAGGAAACAGCAGAGGGAGCAGCCCCCUAUCCACAUCGACGGAACAGUAGUGGAGAAGGUGGAAAGUUUUAAGUUCCUCGGCGUACACAUCACGGACAAACUGAAAUGGUCCACCCACACACACAGCGUGGUGAAGAAGGUGCAACAGCGCCUCUUCAACCUCAGGAGGCUGAAGAAAUUCGGCUUGUCACCAAAAACACUCACAAACUUUUACAGAUGCACAAUCGAGAGCAUCCUGUCGGGCUGUAUCACCGCCUGGUACGGCAACUGCUCCGCCCACAACCGUAAGGCUCUCCAGAGGGUAGGUGAGGUCUGCACAACGCAUCACCGGGGGCAAACUACCUAUAAGUCAUCUAUGCUAGGUAAAGCUCCGCCUUACCUCAGCUCACUGGUGACGAUAACAACACUUUCCCGUAGCACGCGCUCCAGCAGGUAUAUCUCACUAGUCAUCCCCAAAGCAAACAUAUGCUUUGGCCUCCUUUCCUUCCAGUUCUCUGCUGCCAGUGACUGGAACGGAUUGCAAAAAUCGCUGAAGCUGGAGACUUACAAUUCCUUCACUAACUUUAAACAUCAGCUAUCUGAGCAGCUAACCGAUCACUUCAGCUGUACAUAGUCCAUCUGUAAAUAGCCCACCCAACCGACCAACCUCAUCCCCAUAUUCUUUUUAUUUACUUUUCUGCUCUUUUCCACACCAGUAUCACUACUUGCACAUCAUCAUCUGCUCAUCUAUCACUCCAGUGUUAAUCUGCUAAAUUGUAAUUACUUCGGUACUAUGGCCUAUUUAUUGCCUUACCUCCUCACGCCAUUUGCACACACUGUAUAUAGACUUUAUUUGUUCUAUUGUGUUAUUGACUGUACGCUUGUUUAUUCCAAGUGUAACUCUGUGUUGUUGUUUGUGUCGCACUGCUUUACUUUAUGUUGGCCAGGUCGCAGUUGUAAAUGAGAACUUGUUCUCAACUAGCUGACCUGGUUAAAUAAAGGUGAAAUAAAAAUAAAUAAAACAAUUGAGCAGGGCUGGAGGCUCGACAGUGAAACGAGACAAAAAUCACAAACCAAAACAGCCGUAGACAAGGCAUAUUGACAUUAGGGAGAGGCAUGUGUAGCCGAGUGAUCAUAGGGUCCAGUGAGUAGCUAGGCGAGCUGGAGACACGGCGAUUCAGACAGCUAGCAGGUUAGCAUAUGGGCCUCAGGGGGAUGUCGCAACGGAAGAGCCUGUUGAAAACACCUCGGACGGUUACGUCGGCAGACCAGUCGUGAUGGAUUGGCGGGGCUCCGUGUCGGCAGCAAAGGGUCCAGGCCAAUUGGCAAAAGAGGUAUUGAAACCUAAGAAUUGUCUGAUGGAUCUCUUUGCCUAGCCUGGAGAUGGGCCUAGCUCGAGGCUAUCUCCAGGCUAACUGGUGCUUGCUUUGGGACAGAGACGUUAGCCAGGAGUAGCCACUCGGAUAGCAGCUAGCUAGCUGCGAUGAUCCGGAGUAAAGGUUCAGAGCUUGAGGUAGGAAUCCGGAGAUGUGGUAGAGAAAAAGCAGUCCGAUAUGCUCUGGGUUGAUAUCGCUGUGCAGACUGGCAGGAAUUGACCGGGCUGAGCCGACUCAGACACUCUUGACACCCAUUACAAAUGGGAACUACAAAUGGGGUUCAUGCGCACAGUGCAAUUGCACUAUAAAAACAUCCUUCUUCAGACACCAACAUACAGUUCGAAAAUUUCCUGUUAGGGGUAUCAUCUCAUGCAAGACCAAGGGAGUAAUCUAUCUGAUCACCUGUUCAUGUGGAAAAGCCUACGCAGGACAAACGCAUUGAGCAUGUUGCUCUACCAAGGAGAGGAGGUAACAUCGAGAUCCUACUACUACAAAGGGAGGCUUACUGGAUAUCCUGUCUAAAAACAUUGACCCCUAGUGGUCUGAAUAUUGACUUUGAUCUCAGGCCCUUUUUAUGAACAAUUCUUUAUUUUAUGAACAAGUCUUACAAAUUGAUAUAUUCUUUCUACAGCUUAUUAGCAUACACCUAAUAAGUUACCCCUGUUGAUGAUGCUUAUUAUGCAAUAAGGUUUAACCAAAAGAUUACAUGUAACAAAUAUGAAAUACGAAACAAUUAAAUAUGUGAAAUUGAAUUAAACAAUACUGUAUGUUGAUGCUAAUAUUAUGUACAAUAUUAAAUUAUGUUUCUAUAUGAGAACAAUAACCUAAUAUAUUUAAUAUGCCAUAAACUAUUGUUUCUAACAGUUUCACAAAUUUAUUCGAAUUAACUUAAUCAUUAUGACACACCCCUCACUAUUGUCAUUGAUUGCACUAAUUGCACUGUUUGUCUACAUAGCCUGGUUCAAGUAUUCAUGACAUUACCCUGAAGAAGGCACAAUGAUGCUGGUUGGUAAAUACCCAAUAAAUGACUGGGAGUUUAUAUAUGGAGUGUGCGACUCUCUUUAUUUUGUCAGUUUAAAAUUCAGACUGUA
rnacentral:lncRNA from 1 species